rnacentral:rRNA from 1 species
GUAGGGAGCAAACGUUGUCCGGAUUUAUUGGGCGUAAAGGGCUCGUAGGCGGUUCAACAAGUCGGUCGUGAAAACCCGGGGCUCAACCCCGGGACGCCGGUCGAAACUGUUGUGACUAGAGUUCGGUAGAGGUGAGUGGAAUUCUCGGUGUAGCGGUGGAAUGCGCAGAUAUCGAGAGGAACACCAUUAGCGAAGGCGGCUCACUGGGCCGAUACUGACGCUGAGGAGCGAAAGCGUGGGGAGCAAACAGGAUUAGAUACCCUGGUAGUCCACGCCGUAAACGAUGAACACUAGGUGUGGCGGACUGAUUCAUGUCUGCUGCGCCGUAGCUAACGCAUUAAGUGUUCCGCCUGGGGAUACGGCCGCAAGGCUA